AUGCUCCGAGUAGCUAACUACCAAACUGCCUUAGGAGCUUACCAGAAGCAGUUGUGGUUGAAGAUCCUUCCAGGUCUGCAGCUGUUGCCCGAGGAUGUUAAACAAGGCUACCUCAAUACUUUUGAGGAAGCCCAAACUGUCUCAAAACAUCAGAGAAUUGCUACACGGCACUCGGUUGACGCUGCAGCCCGAAUUCUCGUUUCUUCUGUCACUCUCCGUAGGCAUGCGUGGCUUCGUUCGGCCAACACCCUUGAUGAUGUGAAGACUAAGAUAGAAGAUUUACCCUUUGAUGCUUCAGGUCUGUUUAGUGAAAAGACAGACGGUCACCUUGAGGAAUUGCAUAAAGCCAAAAAGACAGCCAAAUCGUAUUACAUUCAGCCUCAACCAAAGUUUAAUAGAUAUCAAUGGAAGAAACCCUCCAACCAGUUUAACCAGCCACAGCAAUUCAGGCAGUUUAAAACUCAGUCUCAACCCAGAUCUUCACAAGGCGCUUCCUCCACCUCUACCUGUCGCAGCCAAUCUUCUCAACAGUGUCAAUCAUAUAAGACCCCUGCUAAAAGCAUAAGCAGUAUCUUUGACUCGCCGGAUCCUCUUCCAAUUCCCGCUCCCGUGGCAAGGCUACAACCAUUCUAUUCAAACUGGUUCACCAUCACAACCGACUCAUGGGUUCUUCGCAUUGUCCGUUCCGGCUAUCGCCUGGAAUUUAUCGAAUAUUCUCCUCUAGGUCUCGUAGAACAUACUUCAUUCAACCCUGCCUUAGAGGAGGAAGUUCAUUCAUUACUAGGAAAGCAUGCCAUUCAAAAGGUUCCCAAAAGAGACAUUUUAAACGGCUUUUAUUCAAGAUAUUUCGCCGUUCCCAAAAAAGGUGGAGGCAUAAGACCCAUAAUGGACCUAAGAAUACUAAAUACUUACUUUCGCCCUCGCAGAUUUCGCAUGGUAACCUUAGAGUCCAUCAUCCACCUACUAAAGCAAGGCGAUUGGUUCAUGGUCAUAGACUUGAAAGACGCGUAUUUUCACAUUUCAAUUCAUCCCAAACAUCGCAAAUUCCUCAGGUUUAUUUUUCAGGACACCAUUUAUCAGUACCUGGCCCUCCCGUUCGGCCUUGCGACGGCCCCCAGGACAUUCACGAAAUGCAUGGCCCCGGUUGCAGCUUACCUGAGACUGCACGGGGUUCGUGUAUUCCCUUACAUUGACAAUUGGCUGGUUGUCGCACCCUCCAGACACAAAGCCUUGAAGGACACAAGAUUCACUCUUCAUGUACUUCAGAACUUGGGCCUCCAAAUAAAUUACAAAAAAUUGCAUCUCGUCCCCUCUCAAACUGUGAACUACAUAGAUGCUACCUUAGAUGCUACCGAGGGCCACAUAUUUCUUCCUCAAGAACGCAUAGAGAAGAUCAUACACGCCGUAAGGAAUUUCAAGGCAGGGGCGACGGUGACCACCCUACAUGCUCAACACUUACUCGGUCUGAUGGCCUUGACAACGCUGGGCCUGGCUCAUGCACGGCUCAAGCUCAGAUCCUUGCAAGUGUGGCUGUUAGCUCUUUUCAAUCCUCUCAAGCAUCACCAAGAGCGGCGUCUCCGAGUUACGCCAGAGCUAGCACGUCAGCUGCAGUGGUGGACGUUUGCCCCUCACCUUCAAGUAGGGCGCCCCUUCUGCCCUCUUCAAUUAUCUGCCCAGGUGACCACAGAUGCAAGCCCCACAGGUUGGGGGGCACAUUGCAGCCCACAUCAUGUUCAUGCCUUGUGGUCUCCCCAAGAACAGAACUUUCAUAUCAACCAUCUGGAAAUUCUAGCCGUCAUCAAGGCUUUGAAGACAUUUCUCCCCCUAGUGCGUGGUCGUGGUGUUCAAAUAGUCACGGACAACACCACGGCCAUGCACUACAUAAACAAGCAGGGGGGCACACACUCCCACUCCCUUCUGUUUCUAACAGUAACACUCUGGGAAUGGUGCUACUGUCAUAAUGUCUUUCUAGUAGCUGUCCAUGUAUCCACGGAGGACAAUGUUCUGGCGGACGAACUCAGUCGCUGCAAUGCUCAGAUGCAUGAAUGGGAAUUGAACUCACAGGUUUUUCGCGACCUGUGCCGCCGUUGGGGCACACCGUUGGUGGACGUCUUUGCCAGCCAAGUCAACAAGAAAUGUCCCCUCUACGCCUCCAGGGUGGGUCGGGGAUUGCACUCAUUGGGAGACACCUUCAUGAUUCCCUGGACUAUGGGACUUCUUUAUCUCUCCCCCCCCCCGCUUCCCCUGGUACAGAGGACUCUGGUGAAACUUCAGCAAGAGUUGGCUGACGCGAUCCUUGUGGCUCCCCUCUGGCCUCGGCAGUCCUGGUUCCCAACCUUGACAUCGCUGGCAGUGGAUUCCGUGACACUACCAAUCUUUCCAGCUCUUCUAACUCAGGACGGGGGCAAAAUCUUCCACCCCGAUCUGCAGACACUUCAUGUUGCAGCGUGGAGGAUAUUCCCGAAAUAA
ensembl:lncRNA